GGAAGGUGCUGUUCUUCCUCACUCUGUCCCUCAGUGUCAUUGCAGUUCCACUGCUGCUCCGUGCCUGGAGGAAGCUUGAUGAAAAGUGCACAUAUGUCACUAAUUUGGUGACUUAUCACCUUGAGAAGGAAUUGGCGGGCUUGAAACAGCCUAUUAAAUCAG